rnacentral:rRNA from 1 species
UACGUAGGGUGCGAGCGUUGUCCGGAAUUAUUGGGCGUAAAGAGCUCGUAGGCGGCGUGUCACGUCGAUCGUGAAAACUUGGGGCUUAACUCUGAGCUUGCGGUCGAUACGGGCAUCACUGGAGUUCGGCAGGGGAGACUGGAAUUCCUGGUGUAGCGGUGAAAUGCGCAGAUAUCAGGAGGAACACCGGUGGCGAAGGCGGGUCUCUGGGCCGAUACUGACGCUGAGGAGCGAAAGCGUGGGGAGCGAACAGG